rnacentral:lncRNA from 1 species
UCAUUAUCAAACAUCCAUUUACCUUGUAUUAGUUAUUCUUUAAUGAAGAGGUUUAUGAAUUUUAUGUUUUUAAAUCAGAUAUUUUAUGUUGUGGAACGUCAUGAACGUUCGUGUUAUUUCGAGUUUGCUCUCUGGUUUGACCCAUUCCAGGUGUAAAAAAUUAACCAUGUUUUUCUUUACGUGGGAAUAUUCUAUGUUGAUGGUUUACACACAGACUGGGUAGUAGUUAUUCGGGUCACAAACUAUUAUUCAAUCUCUGAAUUUAGGUAGUCGUGCAUCAGUAAAUGAUUAUUAAUUUGGUAAGAAAAUGCUGAUCAUUUUUUACGUGGGAUAGUGGCUGUAGGAACUCUUGCUUAAGUAUGACUGGAUCUUAAUCUCAACUUGUUGUUGUGAUCAGUUGUAGUUUUUAACUGGGUUUUGCAGGUGCCUUUUUUGGUGGGGCUGGUUUACUGGCUAGUGAUUUGUAUUGCUUAUCCAAGCUUAACUGUUGCUACUAUUACAUUGAGUAAUUAAAAUUUCUGCGAAGAACUUGAACUACUGCUGUAUUAUUUCUGACUUUGUUGUGGUCGAUAUCCACCCUUGAUUCUGUAGGUUGGAUUAUAUGGCUGAUAUGGAUGUUUCUUUCUCGGGCUGGAACCUUGUCUCGUCAGGUGGUGCAUGAGAUAGGUAGACGACAUCCUGACAAAAUACACAGAAAACAAUAAAUGGAAGCUGACAUUUGAGUUUCUAUUUGUCAACAAUUUAUGAUAAUUCCGUUUCAGUAAAGAAUUCACGCUUAUCUUAGUACAACUGCUUCGUAUGGAUGAAACAGCGGCAAAUGUCACAAUUGAGCCGACUAUAAUAACGGGAAAGGAGUUCUGUUUUGCAGUCAGUUGGAGGGGCGGCUGAAGCUGUCACCAUAGUUGAUUAUUCUCAUGUUUUCAAAAGAAAUUUCUAUCUGGGUUUGAUUUCUGUGGCUCUGUUUCCCCAUGACUUGUGAUAAAAUCGUGUAUAUUGUGCCGAUACUCUGGCUGUAACGAAUGUUAAAAUUGUAUGAUAAAUGAUUAAUAAAACAUUUAGAAUAAUA